rnacentral:ncRNA from 1 species
CUUAUCAAGAGUGGUGGAGGGACCGGCCCUGUGAAGCCCGGCAACCUGCAAGGACGCAAGGUGCCAAUUCCGGCGAGAGAAUCGGCAGAUGAG